rnacentral:rRNA from 1 species
UACGGAGGGUGCAAGCGUUGUCCGGAAUGAUUGGGCGUAAAGAGUGCGUAGGCGGCCAAGCAGGUCAGCUGUGAAAACUCGAGGCUCAACCUCGAGACGUCGGUUGAAACCGCUUGGCUAGAGUCCGGAAGAGGAGAGUGGAAUUCCCGGUGUAGCGGUGAAAUGCGCAGAUAUCAGGAGGAACACCGGUGGCGAAGGCGGGUCUCUGGGCCGAUACUGACGCUGAGGAGCGAAAGCGUGGGGAGCGAACAGG